rnacentral:rRNA from 1 species
ACGGGGGGGGCAAGCGUUGUUCGGAAUUACUGGGCGUAAAGGGCUCGUAGGCGGCCAACUAAGUCCGACGUGAAAUCCCCAGGCUUAACUUGGGAACUGCGUCGGAUACUGGCUGGCUUGAAUUCGGGAGAGGGAUGCAGAAUUCCAGGUGUAGCGGUGAAAUGCGUAGAUAUCUGGAGGAAUACCGGUGGCGAAGGCGGCAUCCUGGACCGACAUUGACGCUGAUGAGCGAAAGCUAGGGGAGCAAACGGGA